rnacentral:sRNA from 1 species
GUGGUACCCGGUCCUCAGGUGCAACCCCCUGCGUGGUCCUCUGUGGCAGCCUUCUCUCAUUCAGAGCUAAAAAGAAAACUCGGUAGAAGAUAAUGGCAAGUCCAGACUGGGGAUAUGAUGACAAAAAUGGUCCUGAACAAUGGAGCAAGCUGUAUCCCAUUGCCAAUGGAAAUAACCAGUCCCCUGUUGAUAUUAAAACCAGUGAAACCAAACAUGACACCUCUCUGAAACCUAUUAGUGUCUCCUACAACCCAGCCACAGCCAAAGAAAUUAUCAAUGUGGGACAUUCCUUCCAUGUAAAUUUUGAGGACAACGAUAACCGAUCAGGUGAGCUGAAAGACCCUUCUGAUAUUUUUUUCUUACAGUCUACUGGGAAAAUUUAAAAAAUAGUGCUCGAGAAAUAUGACACCCAUUCUAAGUCUUUUGUGCUUGUGUGCAGCAUUGCUGUAAUCUAGUGAGGCAUCUUGGACUUCUGGAAAACGUCCAGGUGGUAAAGACAAUUUUUUGAACUCCCAGCUCUCUAUUUUCAGUCUUGCUUCUCAAAGUCACCAUCACGUCUCUUCUCGUCAUUCCAGUAUCUGUAUGCUCACUUCA